CCUACGGGGGGCUGCAGUGGGGAAUAUUGGACAAUGGGCGCAAGCCUGAUCCAGCCAUGCCGCGUGAGUGAUGAAGGCCUUAGGGUUGUAAAGCUCUUUCAGUGGGGACGAUAAUGACGGUACCCACAGAAGAAGCCCCGGCUAACUUCGUGCCAGCAGCCGCGGUAAUACGAAGGGGGCUAGCGUUGUUCGGAUUUACUGGGCGUAAAGCGCACGUAGGCGGAUCGUUAAGUCGGGGGUGAAAUCCUGGAGCUCAACUCCAGAACUGCCCUCGAUACUGGCGAUCUUGAGUCCGGAAGAGGUGAGUGGAACUCCUAGUGUAGAGGUGGAAUUCGUAGAUAUUAGGAAGAACACCAGUGGCGAAGGCGGCUCACUGGUCCGAUACUGACGCUGAGGUGCGAAAGCGUGGGGAGCAAACAGGCUUAGAUACCCCGGUAGUC
rnacentral:rRNA from 1 species